rnacentral:rRNA from 1 species
UGACCAGACUCCUACGGGAGGCAGCAGUGAGGAAUAUUGGUCAAUGGCCGAGAGGCUGAACCAGCCAAGUCGCGUGAGGGAUGACGGCCCUACGGGUUGUAAACCUCUUUUGCCGGGGAGCAAAGAGCGGGACGCGUCCCGCCUCGAGAGUACCCGGAGAAAAAGCAUCGGCUAACUCCGUGCCAGCAGCCGCGGUAAUACGGAGGAUGCGAGCGUUAUCCGGAUUUAUUGGGUUUAAAGGGUGCGCAGGCGGAAGAUCAAGUCAGCGGUAAAAUUGAGGGGCUCAACCUCUUCGAGCCGUUGAAACUGGUUUUCUUGAGUGAGUGAGAAGUAUGCGGAAUGCGUGGUGUAGCGGUGAAAUGCAUAGAUAUCACGCAGAACCCCGAUUGCGAAGGCAGCAUACCGGUGCACAACUGACGCUCAGGCACGAAAGCGUGGGUAUCGAACAGGAUUAGAUACCCCGGUACA